rnacentral:misc_RNA from 1 species
GAUGAAGAACGCAGCGAAAUGCGAUACGUAAUGUGAAUUGCAGAAUUCAGUGAAUCAUCGAGUCUUUGAACGCACAUUGCGCCCCCUGGUAUUCCGGGGGGCAUGCCUGUCCGAGCGUCAUUGCUGCCCUCAAGCACGGCUUGUGUGUUGGGCCUCCGUCCUCCUCCCGGGGGACGGGCCCGAAAGGCAGCGGCGGCACCGCGUCCGGUCCUCGAGCGUAUGGGGCUUCGUCACCCGCUCUUGUAGGCCCGGCCGGCGCUUGCCGACACAUCAAUCUUUUUUCCAGGUUGACCUCGGAUCAGCUAGGGAUACCCGCUGAACUUAAGCAUAUCAAUAAGCGAGGA